GGAAACAGUACGCCGUCUUCACAACUCGGAGACAAACACUAGGCGAUACGAGCCGGCGCAAGGACUAACUUUGCCUCAUAACGAAGCCGUGACAAGCUAUUUAGUGCGGGCUUUGUCGACAAAUCCAAAUCUUCAUGAUGCUGACAAAGACAACAUUGUGUCUGCCUGCAAGACGUAUUACGAAACCUUACGCAGGAGCUAAAGGUACCAGCAGCCUGAUCUUUCGUUGCAGGCGGAAACAAUGAAGUAGCCGGCUCGUAGUC